rnacentral:lncRNA from 1 species
UACCAGUAGGAGGCUCUUACGUUGAUCCAUCAAUAAAGCCAGACUUAUUUUUAGAAGUCAAGACUAUGAGAAUGGCUCUCUUCCAUCCCCCAAAACUCUUUCCAUCAAAAGCUAUAUUAACCAGCAACAUACCAGGAGAAUCAGAAGGCGAAAUGGAGAAAGGAUGAUAAGGUUUUAUGAGUUCAGUGGCUGCAUUAGUUCCAGUAACAAAGGGAAAUUGAGCCCCAGA